GACGAACGCUGGCGGCGUGCUUAACACAUGCAAGUCGAACGGAAAGGCCCUGCUUUUGUGGGGUGCUCGAGUGGCGAACGGGUGAGUAACACGUGAGUAACCUGCCCUUGACUUUGGGAUAACUUCAGGAAACUGGGGCUAAUACCGGAUAGGAGCUCCUGCUGCAUGGUGGGGGUUGGAAAGUUUCGGCGGUUGGGGAUGGACUCGCGGCUUAUCAGCUUGUUGGUGGGGUAGUGGCUUACCAAGGCUUUGACGGGUAGCCGGCCUGAGAGGGUGACCGGCCACAUUGGGACUGAGAUACGGCCCAGACUCCUACGGGAGGCAGCAGUGGGGAAUAUUGCACAAUGGGCGGAAGCCUGAUGCAGCAACGCCGCGUGCGGGAGGACGGCCUUCGGGUGGUAAACCGCUUUCGCCUGUGACGAAGCGUGAGGGACGGUAAUGGGUAAAGAAGCACCGGCUAACUACGG
rnacentral:rRNA from 1 species